GAUGAAGAACGUAGCGAAAUGCGAUAAGUAGUGUGAAUUGCAGAAUUCAGUGAAUCAUCGAAUCUUUGAACGCACAUUGCGCCCUUUGGUAUUCCUUAGGGCAUGCCUGUUCGAGCGUCAUUUAAACCUUCAAGCUCAGCUUGGUGUUGGGUGACUGUCCGCUUCACCGCGGACUCGCCUCAAAAUUAUUGGCGGCCGGUACAUUGGCUUCGAGCGCAGCAGAAACGCGAACUCGGGCCCGUCGUAUUGGCUCCCAGAAGCUAUCUUCACAAUUUUGACCUCGGAUCAGGUAGGGAUACCCGCUGAACUUAAGCAUAUCAAUAAGCGAGGA
rnacentral:misc_RNA from 1 species